rnacentral:rRNA from 1 species
AUGCCGCUGGCGGGUCGCCGCGUCCUAGUGCGCUGCGUUCUGUCAGCAAUCCCAACCUUCGCGCUCACGGCUCUACGCGCACUGAAGAAGCUCUUCAAGGAAAUCGACAAGUCGAGGAGGCGAUUCCUCUGGGCACAGGACGACGAGAUCUCAGGGGCAAAGUGCAAGGUGGGCUGGAAGACGGUG